CUACGGGUCGCUGCAGUGGGGAAUAUUGCACAAUGGAGGAAACUCUGAUGCAGCAACGCCGCGUGGAGGAUGACACUUUUCGGGGCGUAAACUCCUUUUAUAUAGGAAGAAGAUGACGGUACUAUAUGAAUAAGCGCCGGCUAACUCCGUGCCAGCAGCCGCGGUAAUACGGAGGGCGCAAGCGUUACUCGGAAUCACUGGGCGUAAAGAGCGUGUAGGCGGAUUAAAAAGUCAGAAGUGAAAUCCUAUAGCUUAACUAUAGAACUGCUUCUGAAACUCUUAAUCUAGAAUAUGGGAGAGGUAGAUGGAAUUUCUGGUGUAGGGGUAAAAUCCGUAGAGAUCAGAAGGAAUACCGAUUGCGAAGGCGAUCUACUAGAACAUUAUUGACGCUGAGACGCGAAAGCGGGGGGAGCAAACAGGAUUAGAUACCCCCGUAGUC
rnacentral:rRNA from 1 species